rnacentral:sRNA from 1 species
GCGCAUAUAAAACUUUUAAUACAAAAUCGGACUAAGCAGCUUAGGUUUUUAUCUCAUUGUCGCUCGUUACCUAAUGUUAAAAUGAACUUUUGUUUCAAGAUGUUUUUUGUUGUUUUGUAUUUUACAAUAAGAAUUAUUCAAAUAUGUAUAAGUAGUAAAAUGUCAUAAAGAUCUGUUCUAUUUGAAUUUCAGAUUGAAUGACAAAGUGGAGAGAUGCGCACAAUGUUUCACUUUUAUUAAUACAUUAAGAUUCACUGAUGUCUAAAAUAUAGUUUUUUUCUAUGUGAUAUAUAAAAUCAAGUAUGAGUUAAUAUCAACAUUUUUAUAGAAUGGGUUUUAGAAUGGAUAGUCAUUGUUGUUUUACAAAUGCAUUUUUAUGUAAAACAAAAUAAGGCAUUAUACAUUAAAAUUUAGUUAUAUUUUGCAAUGUUUGCAGAGGCUUAAUAAUGAAUUCUUCUUUGAAGCCGUUUUUAAAAAAGAUAAGAGGACCAAAAAAAGCUAUCAAAGACUAUAAAUUACAUUUGCUAUAUUUUCUCCCUUAAACUAAAGAAUAAUAUUUUUCGAAAAAUUGCCAUUUUAAAAAUGUAGGUAUGAAGAUUGUUCAUAAUUUUCUUGUUUCUUUUUUGUUCUAUUUUCGAAACUAGUAGGCCCUCAUGCGUUUCAAAUAAAUCACAUAUCAGC